AUCUUAAGCGCUAUUUCCAUUCUCUUCUCUGAAAUUUUUCCUUCAAUAUUAAGUCAAUCUAUGGAGAAUGAUGUUCCCGCUGAUAUCCAUUUCACUGAUUUUGAGGACGUCGUUAGUCAAUCCAUGGAGAAUGAUGUUCCCGUUGACACGAAUAUGACCUAUUCUGCAGGCGGUUCUAAUCGUCUGCUUAUGUCUCCAAGUGCCCUGACAAACUAAAACCAUUCGUUGGCAAGAAAUUCAACACUUUGGACGCCGGAAUUGCUUUCUACGAUGCUUAUGCUCGUGAAGCUAGCUUCGACACCCGGAAACGUGGAAUCAAAUCUUCACGUGAGUGUGUUACUUGACAAUAUAUUGUGUGCAACAGGCUAGGGUUGAAGAAUGGGAUUGAAAUGGAUCAUAUUCAUGCUCGUGAAGGAUUUAUUAACAAGCGCAGAAGAACCUCUAAAAGAUGUGAUUGUAAGGCUAGAAUCUCAUUGAGGCUAGAAGGAUUUUAAUUACUAUCCACUAUAUCUCAGUUGCAGAACUUAUUACCAAUUGAUGGGAUAUAUUCAUUUUACUGUUUGAUUAA